CAGUAAUCGAUGCUUCAUUGAUAGACCAUGGCAUUGAUCGACUAGUGGAUUGAUCAGAUUCCAUCUCCUUGUUUGGCAUACUUCCCUCUGUUCUGCUGUGAAGGAAAAAUGCCGGUUGGUUAGGUAAUGGUAGUGUGACAGAGUAACUGUUAAGCAUGAGAACAAUAGUAGUCAUCGUAGGCCUGUCAACUGGAUCUUCCUGAACACAUAAUAACCCAAUUUGGAUGCAUCUAAUGACUUCAUUUCUAGAGUAAGUAUCCCUCAGAAUAGGAUCCAACAAUUCCAAUGGCGUCCCAUCCUUCCAAUGUUUCCAAGCCUGCAGUGGUUCAUCAAGUAAGAUUUAAAAAGUCACCUCACCUUAAAUUUUAAUUUCGUUUUUCGUAUAGGCUGAAUUAUACUCACGUAGCUAAGGAGGUCCAUCUGUUUGAUAGAAAUUAGUGUUCCUUUGGCCACUAAUAAUUUCGAGAACUAAAACACCAAAACUAUAUGCAUCUGAUUUCACAGAAAACUGCCCUUGCAUUGCAUAUUCGGGAGACAUGUAGCCACUCUAGAACCAUUAGCAAUGUUAGUAUAAUGACAAGAACAAAAAGUUUUAGUUUGAUCUAAUAAUUUAUUUAUGCUAACAACAAUCAGGAUAGCUUGUUAUAAAUGAUUUAGCUGGAGGUGUUAAUAUGUCACAAGGAUUCCUAAAUUCCAUUAAAAGCAGGGUAUAACCAAAAUGAGCUUUUAUUUCUUUAAGUUGUUCAACAAUUAGGAUGCAACAACUCAUGGUUAAAUUGCGUAUGAAACUUAUGCAAACAAAUGCUAAACAUGUUCAAAACUUACUAGGUACCAACAACUCUUCUGGUGGUUCCUUGAGUUUGAUCAACACCAAAAAUCCUUGCCAUGCCAAAAUCUGAAAUUUUUGGAUUCAUUUCACCAUCUAAUAAUAUAUUGCUGGCCUUGAGGUCCCGGUGUACGAUUCUAAGCCGAGAAUCCUCAUGCAGAUAAAGCAUUCCUCGAGCAAUCCCUCCUAUGAUCUUGUAACGUCUUGACCAAUCCAAUUGUCCUUGUUUUGCAGGAUCUAUAAAAAUAAAUAGAUAAAUAAAUAAAUGAAUAAGCAGUUUUGUUCACACAGCAAAUCUAAGAUUAAGAUAUACCCAUGUAUCUCUCUAGGCAGUGUUUAAAAUCAAUUAAAAGUCCCAACAAAAUUCUUGCAACAGUAUAUUACACGUACCAAAAAGAAAAUAGUCCAGACUUUUAUUGGGCACAAAUUCAUACAAGAGUAUCUUUUCUUCUCCUUCCAAGCAAAAUCCGAGUAGUCUCACUAGAUUUCUGUGUUGAAGCUUGGCAACCAAUACAGCCUCAUUUUUAAAUUCCUCCACCCCUUGCCCUGAACUUCUCGAUAACCUCUUAACAGCUAUUUCUUGUCCGUUAGGAAGGGUACCCUGCGAAUGUAAGAUACCCCUCAUUAGAAAAGCUUUCUGAGAGUUUGAGUUUGGACUCUGUAUGCAUGGAUAAAAUGGCUGCAUGGAUAAAAUGGCUACAAGUCAUUAAAUACUAAUAAUACCUUGUAAACUUCACCAAAACCACCUUCUCCUAGCUUGUUCCUAUCUGAGAAGUUGUUUGUGGCAACUUGUAUCAUGCUAAAAUCAUACUACAGUGACUCUAUUGUGGUUAUAUCAUUUCCUGCUGUAAAAUCAAACUAGCAAAUGUCAUAUUCUGUAAAACAUUAUCAAAGAACAGGGUGAAACCGAAGAACUGAGAUUGUUUUGGCUCAAAAUAAGUUGUGUUUUACCAUUUUCUCCUUCUAUAGCUUUGUAUUUCCUUGCUCUCCUUUUUAAUAGACAACAACCCACGAAGAAAAGCAAAACAGAGGCAGAAAUUGGAGCAAUAAUGGCAAUAAUUAUUUGCCACGAAUUUUGGCUUUUCCCUGCAGAAGCAAUAAAGAAUUAAAGAUGUGUCACGAUAAUUUCUAAUACCAUAAAGCAUACUUUAGAAGGUGGAGAGGAUAUGUGGAAGGCUACAACUAUCAAAUAAAAUCAAAUUCAAAUUCAUUUGUGACUUUUAGUUCCAGAUGUCUCUGCAGCGCAAUCUCUCCCAAUGUCAAUUCCUCAAUUCCAUCAAUUCCAUCAAUUAAUGGCAAAUUUUAGUGUGGGUAAUAUUUUGGAAGAAAACUGUAAGGCAUAUAAUCGUCCUAAAUAUAAUUAUUUAACUCAACUAACAAAAAUAAAUAAAAAGGCAAUAGUACGGUUGGUAUGACUGCACCUGGAGCUGCUGGAGAAGGAGGUAUUAUCACAGACGGAGGUGACGGAACUGCAACUGCAGUUUGAUUAUAGAACUGGUAAAGUUCAUAUCUAAUGUUGCAGCUAGGAUUCAGCACUCUUCCCCCUUGCUUUCCAUUGCAACAAUUGGGCAGAGCCGCUAUAUUUCCUCGCAGACACGUAUUACAAUCCGAGCUUGACAGGUCAGGAGUACACUGCACAAGGCUGUACAGUGUUUGAAACCCUGAAAUAUUCGCCUCUCUUGUCGCAAAGUUUUUUAAACCUAACGUAGCAUUUACAGCCAGGGUUGCCGCAUUAUUCAUCGUAUCAGCCAGUAUCUGGUCAAAACGCUCUUGGUCCGUGACAUUUCCCGUGUUCCACAUAUAGAAUGCAGGAAAAACGGUCGCAAUGGAAAAGAUAGAUCGAUUCGAGUAAUGUAAGAGGCAAUUAUCAUACCAAAUCACAGCAAUUUUUUCAACAGGACAACGUUGAGUGACGUCAUUGAUGGCGGUAGAGACACAUUCUUGGCAGCUACUAUUUGAAACAUCACCCCUGCAGAGAAACAGCCCGUAGACCACGUCAGAGUUUCUGCCAGAGGUUGUGCUGUAGAAUCGAUUGUCACGGGUGGCGUUGGAGGAUAGAGAGGAGAGCAGGUGAUUGAGAUCGGCUUGGUAAGUACCGUUUGUGGGAAAAGUGGUCGUGUUCGAACAACUAUGGUAGAGGUAAGUUUGUUGCGCUUCAAUGGUAAAGCUAAGCAAGGAGAGGAACAACAGAGUUCUGAAGGACUUGUAGACAAACAUUUUUUCUGUUUCUUUUUUCCUCGGACCGUAACAGAGAUGAGUUUCUCAAUAUGGGGUUUCCACCGGCACUAAAAGACUUGUACUUCAAGACGCCAACAGUGAAAAACCAGGUGUAGCCAAUUUAAUGGGCCGUCUUAGGCAACCUUGAAAGAUGUAAAGACAUUUACGUGUCUUUGAUGGAUGGGAUGGGAGUUGGAGAUAAAUGUCAAGUGCCGGUUUCACAUUCAUGGUGCCUUAAAAUCGCAGGCGCACUGAUUGGAAGUUAGUGCUCCUGGUUGUAACAUACUUUUUUCAUUACAUUUAGAUUUCUUUGAUCCUCUGUCAAAUGUGUCCCUACCAUUCCAUUCAUCUAAAGGAGGUUUUUUUUUUUUUUUUUUCAAUACUAUUAUAUAAAAAUAUUUUAUGAUUUAUUUUCAAAGUUCUUUGAUCUUUUGGUCGAAUAAGUAUAGUUUAAUUUUAAUAAUAAACGCUUGAAUUAAUUCUUUGAAUAAAAACAGAUAUACUUCAAAAAAGAAAAUCACAUACAUCUAUAGCCAAAAUUUUUUUUUCUUUUGUAUAUUAUUGAUUUAUGUAGAUAUCUCCCAUUCUUUUGUUGAAAAGGUUUAAGUACAUUUUUCGGUGUCAUUCAGCCAAAAAAGGCUUAACAAGUGUUCAGAAGCUAGCAUCCUUAGAAUAGUGCAAUAAAGGGAGAUGCAACUACUAAUCAAUCACCGAGGUGAGAUAUUUGAAAUUGUAACCUCAUUAACAGAACAGAAUUUAUUAUUUGAAGAUGAUUGAAUUGGUUCUGCAACAACACGUCCAACAGAAAAUGCAGGUUCUGCUGGUAUAGGAGGUGUUAUGGUCUCGCUUGCCAACAUGACAAUCACAGAUGACAUGGUAGGUCUGUCUGCUGGGUCUUCUUGCACGCACAACAGCCCAAUAUGGAUGCAUUUAAGAACCUGAGUGGCCACACACGACUGAACAAGGAGCGGGUCUAUUAGCUCCAUCCCUUGACCCUUAGACCAUAGUUUCCAUGCCUGCAAUGUUACUUAAAAUUAGAAUGGUACAACACUACAGCCAUCUACAAAGAUAGGAUAAAAACGUACAAACGUUAGGAGGCUUUCACCAUGCUCCGAGAGAUGAAAGCCAUUGUUCCUUUUGCCACUUAUAAUCUCCAGUAAAAGGACUCCAAAACUGAAAACAUCGGAUUUGACUGAAAAAAGUCCUUCCAUAGCAUACUCUGGUGCCAUGUAUCCACUAUUUCAGUUCAUAAAAAUAGAUAAAAUCAGGCUAGAUUAUGGAAAUAUCAGAACCAAGAAUCUUUCAGUUUGAACAUUGUGCUGUCACAAAAUUGAAGGAUGAUUACAAAUUUUAGAUUAUAAAGAACAGCAAUGUUCCUCUGCGGAACAAACCACAGCAAAGACUGUGAUCUGAUGUACUGCUUUUCCAUUUUAUGAGUUCAAUGCUGAUUCUUUCUUUUCAAUAAAAUUUUAUUUGACACAGACGCAAUAUUAAAGAUCAAAAGAAAACUACUGAAGAACCUAGAUUGGUAAAAAAAAAAAAAAAGAACUGUGAGCCUAGAAGUGCAUGGAAUAGUGGACUUACUAUGUUCCAACCACUCUAUUUGUAUUUGCUUCAUUUUGAUUUCCACCAAAAAUUCUUGCCAUUCCAAAAUCUGAUAUCUUUGGGUUCAUCUCGUGAUCUAGCAAAACAUUGCUAGCUUUAAGAUCUCUAUGAAUAAUUCUAAGACGAGAAUCCUCAUGUAAAUACAGGAUGCCUCGGGCAAUGCCCUUAAUAAUGCCAAGACGCUUCUGCCAAUCCAGUUGCAAACCAAUGCUUGAAUCUGGAAAGGAACCCCCCAAAAGAAUAAUAGUAGUUAGUUGAUUUUUUAACAUAUUGCAUGAAGAAUCCUGUUAAAAAACAGAAUGAAACAAUAAUUUUUUGUUUGAGGAUCAAACCAAAGAGGAACACAUCAAGGCUUUUAUUGGGCAUGUAUUCAUAAACAAGCAGUUUUUCGUUCUGCUCCAAGCAGCAGCCCAGGAGUCUCACAAGAUUUCUAUGUUGUAGUCUGGCAAUUAACAUCACUUCAUUCUUGAACUCAAGUAACCCUUGCCCAGAAGUUCUAGCGAGCCUUUUAACUGCAAUUUCUUUUCCAUCUGCCAAUUUGCCCUAAAAGAAGGAAUUACAAAGCAUCAUAAAAGAACUAAUUAUGUGAAGUUGAAGAGGUGCAUCGUAUACUAAAAGUAUAACAUUCCAUCACCAUGGUCACCUUAUACACAGGGCCAAAUCCACCUUCUCCAAGUUUAUUUUCAUCACAAAAUUGUUUUGUCGCUGCUUGUAAAAUAUCUAACUGAAUCGAGGGAAACUCCUGAGAUCUCACCCCACUCUCACCUUGAAAAUUUUCAAUUGAGUAGUCAUCGCCAGAUCUUCCUCCUAAUUCAAGUAACUGAACUUCUUGGCUGUUAUGAUCUAUAUUCUCUUCAAGAAAAAAUGAAGUGGAUGUAAGAUCCAAUUUCAUACCUUGAAAUUUUCUCCUUCUCCAAAGGAAAAUACCUCCAGAACAGAACAGAGUGACGCCAAAAAUCGUGGAUAAACUUGCAACAAUAGGAACCCACUUUGAUUCGCCUUUUUUGACACCUUCUAAGUCUGUUACUGCAAAAGAAAGUUAUCUUUCACUUGAUUAUUAGUGGAAUAAAUUUCUAAUUUUUGUGUUCUUCUUGCUGUUUCUAUUUUACGGAUAUGAAUUCAUUUAUAAUUAGUUUCUGUAGCAGGUAUUUGUCCUACUUUCUUUUUUGAUGGAUGAAAAGUUCAGUAAUUAAAAAUUAGGCAAGCUAAAUUCUCUAGCAUCUGAUGAUACUAACCGUUUGAGCCACUGGUUUUGUUUACUGAAGGUUGGGGUGCUUUUGGUUCAACUCCAGGAUUCUUGAUAAUCGUAUUGUUUGGUGAUUCGUCUCGAGGUUUUCCAUAAAAUGGAUAUAUCUCAUACCUGAUGUUACAGCUUGGUCCUAACACUCUCGCACCUUGUUUUCCAAUUGCGAAAGAUGGGAUUACAGCAAUUGAGCUACGUAGACAAGAUUGACAGUCUGCAACUGACAAAUCACGGGUGCAUUGAGCAAGUCCAUACAGCUUCAUAGAAAUUGAAACAUUAACUUCUGUAGUUGCAUACAUGCGGUUAGAAGCAUUUGAAAGCUUCGUAAUCAGAUUGUUGUAAGUCUCGGCGAGAUUCUUUUCAAAUUUAUCAGGAUCCGUUACAUUUUUAAUAUUAUACAUACCAAUAGAAGGUGAUAGCUCCAUGAUAGAGAAGAAAGAUCUAUAGGAAUAGCGCAAAAGGCAUUCAUCAUACCAUAUGAUCGCUUCUUUGUCAUUAGCGCACUCCUCCAAGAUCUUAGCGGUUGCUGCGUCAAUGCAGCUUUGGCAGAUAUUGAGUUGAACAUCACCUCUACAGAGGAAAAGGCCAUAAACCUUGUCUUGAUUUUCCCCUUUUGUAUCGCUAAAGAAACCAUAAUUACUUCCUUGAUCAUAAAGCUGGCGGAUGAGAAGGCGCUGAAGGUUGUAAUCGAACUGGCUGGAACGAUUAUAUCUUCCCCGGCAACUUGCAGAGAGAUAAGUCGGCUGUAUUUCGGACAUGUUUUGUGAGAUAACAAGGAGCGGAGAAGAAAGAAAGAAGAGCAGGUAAAAUGCUCCUGAAACAGAAAGAACAACAUAAUAGUGCAUUUUCUUCCAAUGUUUUUCAAUAAUUCAGAAAUCUGAAUUUUAAGGCCAUAAUUUGUCCGGAAUGGGUUAUUAACUGAGACUUCUGACUCGUUCACUUCCACAACUCUUGUCUGCAGAAGAAAUUAUCCCCACAUUCUUUAACCUUUUUUGACCAAGCACGGCACAAACAUAAUCUGUACUGUUUCUCCAACACUAAAAAAAAUGUUAUUAAUUGUUUUGAUCAUCAUGAAAAUUUCUGAUUAAUUAUUUAUGUUAUGUCGUUACCAAGCUUUUACUUAGCUAAGGUAAUUAUUAUUAUCUAAGUUCUCUACUAUUUUUUAAGAUUUACCACUUUGUUAAAGCUUAGUUUAUUACAAUAGAAUAAUUGAAUAAAGGCUCUCAAUAAAUUAAUAAAAAUUUUAUUUGUGAAAUUGAUUAUAAUUUAAAAUUUGAUCAAAUGUAAAAGGUUAAAUAGUCUUCACCCUAUAAAAUAAUUUUAUUUUUUUUAUAAAACACAUAUAUGCUUUCAUUCUAUGUAUAUGAUUAAUGUUACUAUAAAUCAGUUUUGUGCAUAUAUUAUUAUGUAUUAAUUUAUUAUUAUACAAUAAUAUUGAUAUAAUUUUAAUACUUAUAUUUAUAAAAUAAGAGGACCUUUGCUUACGAAUUAAUAUGGUGGAGUGACAUAAUAUCAUUUUCGGAGGUGACGUCAUUACUCUUUCUAGAAGUGAUGUAUUGUCAAAACAGCUGGAGACUUAGCCACUAAGUACAGUCACUUAGACACGCCGUGUAAGACUUAAAUUAAGUAAUUUUAUUUCUAUAUUUGUAAAUUUUCCUUUAAAAAAAUUAUAAAAUAAAUUUUUAUUAUUGAAUUUUGCUAACAAAAAUCUUUAAAAAAACAUUUUAAAAUUAUUAUAUUAAAUAAUAUUUUCUUUCAAUAUAUUAAAAAUUGAUAUAUUAAUUGUCAAUUAUUCAUUAAACAAAAAUAUUAUCAUAAAUACAAUAUUAAUUAAUCUUAAAAAUUCGUUAACAAAACUUUUUAUUAUCAACUAUAUCACUUAUCGCCGGUAUCAACCCUUCCCCUAGAAAAAGAAAGCACUUAAACGUCUUGGAAAACCAGUAAACCAGUCACGACAUUGCAAUUUUCAACUUAAAUUGGGAUCAACAAGUAAAGUUUUUCAAAGAUAUAUUUAUUUUUUACAAAAUAUUAAAUUUUAUAUAUUUAUAUUAUAUUUUAUAUAAAAAUUAUAUAUCAUAAUUUAUAUCGAUAUAAAAAUAUAUAAUAUAUUUUUUAUUUUAUUAAAUUUAUAUAUAAUUAUUAUUAAAAUUUAAAAUUAUAUCAUUUUUAUUUUUAUAUUAUAUUUAUAUUUAUAUUAUAUUAUUAUAUUUUAAAUUAUUAAAUCUAAUUCUCCAACUCUAAUAGAUGACAUUCGAGGUAAAAGUCGAUUCAACGCAAAGUUAGAAUAUUAUUUGCUAACAAGAAGAAGCAAAUGCACCCCCCCACUGUGAUACUUGAGGUAGAAGUCGUUUCCAAGACGCAGUCGAAUAUUAUUUGCUAACAACAAGAAGCAAAUAGAAUAUUCAAGAGAAAGAAAAAAGAAGAGAAAAUCAUUGAAUUUACGUACAACUUUAGGCAAAUAAACAAAUGGGCGGCAAAGUUUAUCAAUAAUUGGAGUAGUUCCAGGAAGAUGCUUUUAGCCCUUUCACCGCUUUAAAGCCAGACGACGCUGGGAUACCUUGACCUGCCCAAAACAGAGAGUUCAAUGAUCAACGAACCGCAUUGGAUAGCUUGUUUUGUCUAAACUUGUCCUUAAAUAUUAGAAGUCCUAAUAAUGCUAAAAUAACAAAAAAAAAAAAAGGUCUCUUAAAUUUCAUAACUUUAAUUAAAUAAAUUUUUAUAUUUUUAUUAUAUUUAAAUAAAUAUUUAAUAUUUAAUUUGCACUCAUAUAAUCCUUUAACAUUUAAUUUGUAUGUAAAUAAAUUAUUAAACUUGUAAUUUCUACAUAAAUAAUUCUUUAUAAAUUAUUCUUUUAUUUGAAAUGAAAAUUUAUUUAGAUACAAAUCAAAUUAUAAAAAUUUAUUUAGAUAUAAUAAAAAUAUAAGAGUUUAUUUUAAAAUAAUAAAAUAAUUCAAAGAUUUUUUUUAAUAUUUUAACUGACUAAUAAUUAUGCUUUGCAUACAUACAUGUGAGACAAUUAUUAAAAUCUGGUAAAUUGAAAGGGUGUAAAUAUUAGAUGGCCUGUUAACAGAACAAUGUCAUCAAUAUGAACAAAAAGGAAUAGAAAUUUUGAACAUUGAACUUUUAUCAUAUCAAAAAUAAUUUAGAGUAGUUAAAUUAAAUUCAUCAAUUUUUUUUACUCGGCCAAAUGUAUUCAACGGGCUGAGAUAUUAGAUAUUGUCAUCAGAUAUAUUAAUGAAUCUAUUGUAGAAAGGCUGAUCAACAAUAAUAACUCUGCCAACAGGCAAAAGCAGGUCUUUUGCCUCAGGAAGAGCAAAUAAGGGUCCACUGGUCCCAGUUGUUUUCCUUCUUUCCAUAGUCCCCAGGCCUGCCAAUGAAUUCACAUAUAUCAAAUUUUUGACAGAAUACAAUAUUGCAAUGGUGGGAAGGACACUUCAAUUUUGAUGACAAAUUACAGGUAUACCUACAUGUGCACGAAGUGUCGGGGCAUGUUCCGUUUGGUAAAAGUCACUAUUUUUUUCCCCCAGCAAUUUCAAUCUUGAGAAUGAUAGAGAUGUUUUAAUUCCCUCAGUUGGAGUCCCCAUGAAAUUUUGACUUCCAGCAGCCUUUUACAGUUGAAUUGUUGACACCUACAACCUUGUAGCCUCAAAAUUAGCCACUGUAAAAAGUUGAAUUAUAAAAAGUUUUGGUGUAAUAAGUAUUGUUUAAUUUUAAUAGUAAAUGACUGAAUGUAAUUCUUUGAAUAAAAAUAGAUACACUUUUGAAAAAAAAUCAAAUACGACUGAAUCUGUAGCCAAUUUUUUUUCUUUUGUAUAUUGAUAUGUGAACAUAUCUCAGCCAAAAUAGGCUUAGUAAGUGUUGAGAAGCUAGCAUCCUUAGAAUAGUGAAAUAAAGGAAGAUGCAACCACUAAUCAAUCACCGAGGUGAGAUAUUUGAAAUUGUAACCUCAUUAACAGAACAGAAUCUAUCAUUUGAAGUGGAUUGAAUUGGUUCUGCAACAAAACGUCCAUCAGAAAAUGCAGGUUCUGCUGGUAGAGGAAGUGUUAUGGUCUCGCUUGCCAACAUGACAAUCACAGAUGAUAUGGUAGGUCUGUCCCGCUGGGUCUACUUGCACGCACAAUAGCCCAAUAUGGAUUCAUUUAAGAACCCGAGUGGCCACACACGAUUGAACAAGUACCGGAUCUAAUAGCUCCAUUCCUUGACCUUUAGACCAUAGUUUACAUGCCUGUAAUGUUUCCUGAAAUUAGAAUGGUACGGUACUACAGCCAUCUAUUUUUUUAACACAAAGAUAGGAUAAAAACAUACAAACGUUAGGAGGCUUUCACCACGCUCUGAAAGAUGAAAGCCAUUGUUUCUUUUACCGCUUAUUAUCUCAAGCAAAAAGGACCCCAAAACUGAAAACAUUAGAUUUGACGGAAAAAAGUCCUUCCAUAGCAUACUCUGGUGCCAUGUAUCCACUAUUUCAGUUCAAAGGAAUAGAUAAAUUAGGUUAGAUUAUGGUAAUAUCAAAACCAAGAAUUGUUAAGUUUGAACAUUAUUCUAUCAUAAAAUUGAAGUAUGAUUACAAAUUUUAGAUUGUAAAGAACAGCCAAGUUCCUCUGCAGAAUAAACCUUAGCAAAGACUGUAAUCUGAUGUACUGCUUUUCCAUUGUACGAGUUCAAUGCUAAUUCUUUCUUUUCAAUAAAAUUUUAUUUGACACAGAUGCAAUAUUAAAGAUCAAAAGAAAACUACUGAAGAACCAAGAUUGGUAAAAAAAAAAAAAAAGAAUUGUGAGCCUAGAAGUGUGUGGGAUAGUGGACUAACUAUGUUCCAACCACUCUAUUUGUAUUUGCUUCAUUGUGAUUUCCACCAAAAAUUCUUGCUAUUCCAAAAUCUGAUAUCUUUGGGUUCAUUUCGUGAUCUAGCAAAACAUUGCUAGCUUUAAGAUCCCUAUGAAUAAUUCUAAGACGAGAAUCCUCAUGUAAAUACACGAUGCCUCGGGCAAUGCCAUUAAUAAUGCUAUGGCGCUUCUGCCAAUCCAGUUGCACACCAAUGCUUGAAUCUGGAAAGGACCACCCAAAAGAAUAAUAGUAGUUAGUUGAUUUUUUACCAUAUUGCAUGAAGAAUCCUGUUAAAAAACAGAAUGAAACAAUAAUUUUUUGUUUAAGGAUCAAACCAAAGAGGAACACAUCAAUGCUUUUAUUGGGCAUGUAUUCAUAGACAAGCAGUUUUUCGUUUUGCUCCAAGCAGCAGCCCAGGAGUCUAUGUUGUAGCCUGGCAAUUAACACGACUUCAUUCUUGAACUCAAGUAACCCUUGCCCAAAAGUUCUAGAGAAGCUUUUAACUGCAAUUUCUUUUCCAUCUGCCAAUUUGCCCUAAAAGAAGGAAUUAAAAAGCAUCAUAAAAGAACUAAUUAUAUGAAGUUGAAGAGGUGCAUCGUAUUCUAAAAGUAUAAUACUCUAUCACCAUAGUUACCUUGUAUACAGGGCCAAAUCCACCUUCUCCAAGUUUAUUUUCAUAACAAAAUUAUUUUGUUGCUGUUUGUAAAAUAUCUAACUGAAUCGAAGGGAACUCCUUAGAUCUCACCCCACUCUCACCUUGGAAAUUUUCAUUUGAGUAUUCAUCGCUAGCUCUUCCUCCUAAUUCAAUUAAGUGAACUUCAUGGCUGUCAUGAUCUAUAUUCUCUUCAAGAGAAAACAAUUAAUUGGGAUAACAAUUGAGUCAAGAAGAAAGUGAAGAGCAAGUAAGAUCCAAUGCAUACCUUGAAAAUUUCUCCUUCUCCAAAAGAAAAUACCUCCAGAACAGAACAGAAUGACGGUAAAAAUCGCGGAUAAACUUGCAACAAUAGGAAUCCACUUUGAUUUGCCUUGUUUGCCACCUUCUAAGUCUGUUACUACAAAAGAAUGUCAUCUUUCAGUUGAUUUUUAGUGGAAUAAAUUUCUAAUUUUUGUAUUCUUCCUGCUGUUUCUAUUUUGCAGAUAUUAAUUAAUUUGUUAUUAGUUUCUGUAGCAGGUAUUUGUCCUACUUUCUUUUUUGAUGGAUGAAAAUUUCAGUAAUUAAAAAUUAGGCAAGCUAAAUCUCUAGCAUCUGAUGAUACUAACCGUUUGAGCCACUUGUUUUGUUUACCGAAGGAAGGGGUGCUUCUGAUUCAAUUCCAGGAUUCUUGAUUAUCGUAGUGUUUGGUGAUUGGUCUCGAGGUUUUCCAUAAAAUGGAUAUAUCUCAUACCUGAUGUUACAGCUUGGUCGUAAAACUCUCGCACCUUGUUUUCCAGUCGCGAAAGGUGGGAUUACAGCAAUUGAUCUACGUAGACAAAUAUGUAAACUUGCUUAUCAGGAAUUCUUAUGAAUAUUUAUCCUAUAAUCCUAUAAUUUUUUGACAUUUUUUCAUAUCUAAAGAUUUUACUAUUUAUAAAUAUACAAAUUUAUCUAUCAAAAAAAUUUUUUUUUAAUAUUUUUUUCUCUUACAAGUUUUUUAUCUAUUACACAAUAUUUAAUCAAUUUUAAACAAAAUUUUUCUAAACUUUGAACCACUAUUCUUUACACUAUUUCCGAUUUCAACUUCUCAACGAACAUUAGAAGUAUUAAUAAUUAUGUCUUGCAUGCAUAGGUGAGACAAAAUUUGUUAAAACGUGUCGAGCAUUAAUGUAUUAAAAGGGUAUAAACGUUGGAUGUCCCGUUAACAGAACAAUCUCAUAAAUAUUCUUGUUACAUUUGAUUUGAACAAAAUAGGAAAAGAAAUUUUGAACAAUGCUCCUUUUAUCAUGAGUUAAUUGUUUGCAAAAUCAAGAUAGUGUUAACAUGCUUAAAACCUUCACGAUUUAGAAAUUGAUAGAUAAACGUUCCAAACACAAAGCUGUAAAAAAUUUCUUAAAAAAGAUUAAAAUCCAUGCUUGAUGCAAACCUAACUGAACAAAAUUAUAAGAAAAGCCAAAGCAAUGCAGUGUCUGCAUCUCCCAGUCCUUGUUGAAUUUAGAUAAAAAAAACUAAAGGUUGAGAUGUGACCAUUUCUAGAAAUAAUGAGCACGGCAUCUGGCCAAAAACAGAAGGGUAAUUAAAUGCGAGGCUAGAACAUGGGAAAAUUCAGUGGUUUGGUGGUUAAACUCUGACUUUGACAAAACAAAAGUAUGGUAAUUAUUUCGAAAGCCAAGCCCCUUGGUGUGUCGACAUUUUCAUGUAGAAACAUUACGGGAGGUGUCAUCUGUUCACUGCCUAAUUCUGUACUUCAGGAACCAGGGCAAAAUUCUGAGAGAACUGAGAAUUGCCGGUAGUUUAAAAUAUAAUGUACCUUAUAUUAGAUAAAAAAAUUUAAUUAUUAUUGAAUAAAAUUAAUUUUUAUAUUAAUUUUAUUUAUAUUUUAAAUAAUUAUAUUUGAAUAAAAAUAAUUAUUAUAUAAUAAAUUAUCAUAAUUAUUUAAAUAUAAAUAUAUUAUUAUUUAUAAAAGUUAUGAUUAUAUAAAAGGUGAUAAUCAUUUGAAUAAAAAUUUAUAGCUAUUUAUUUAUUAUAAAUAAAUCUUUCAAUAUAAUUAUUUUUAUUAUUUUUUAUUAGAGAGUUUGAAAUUUUGUUAUAUCCUAAAGAUAUAAUUAACUUUAAAAAAAUAUUUUUCAUACCUCAAAAUUGAAAUUAUUUUUGAUUAUUUCUCUUUUUUUAUUUAUUUUUUGUAAUAAUUUAAAGGUAAUUAUGAAGAAUUUUUUAUAUUUUAUAUUUAUGGAGAUGCAAAAGAAAGAAAUUUAUAAAUGUUUUGGUGAAAUUUAAAUUCUUGAAAUAAUUAUAAAUAAAGAGAAAUAAUUCUCUACCACGAUGUUAGAUAAGUUUUCUUUAAUUUUUAUUCAAAAUUAAUAUGUUAUUAAUUCAUUGUUUGAUUCCGUUGCAUAAAUCCAAUUUCAUUAUUGUUUUUCAUAUUACUUGGGCUUUUGGAAUUUAUUAAUUGUGCAUUCCAAAAGCUUCACUGAAAUGGAUUUUUCAAAAUUGUAACUUGUAGUAGUCUGAAAUUAAUAGGGUGAAUAUAUGCAUGAAAAUUGUCGUUGAUUUUGGAUUGGAUAAUAAGCCAAGAGCAAGUUUAUACAUGAAGUUAUAAUGUGAUUAAUUGAAAUUGGCUUAGAUAGUCGUAAGCUGAAAUGGGUUCUGUAUAUAUGAUAAAAAUUGGAUUUAGACAUAAUAAAUGAUCUCUUUUGUUCAAUACUAAUGAGAAUUUGGAAAAGAAAAUAGGUUUUAAGGAAAUUGAGAUAAUUGAUUGGGAUCUUUGUUCACAAUAGAAGUUAAUAGAAGUGAAAUGGAGUGUCACAAUAAACUUAUUUUUAAUUAUUUGUGGUUAAUUAAUACAUAUAUUAAUUAAAUGCUUGUUUAUUAUUAUUUUUUAUGCUUACAUUGUUUAGUCAUGCUUGCAUUAACAUGCUUUGAGUUAAAUGGAAUGUUUAUAUAGAGGAGAAUUUGAUUAAUUCAGCUUUAUACUUAUUAUUAAUACAAUUUGCUAAUAACAUGCAUUUAUUAUUUGGUCAAAAGGCAUGAUUGAAAUUUUAAUUUUUGAAUAAGCAUGACUUUAUGUUUACCCUGACAAUCAUUAAAUAAAAGAAUUACGAAAAUAUUGUUAAAUUUAUUAAAACCAUAAGAUAAUGUUUUAAUUGAAAAAAGCUAGAAAAGUAAUAAUAUAUAUUUGCAAUUGUAAUAUUUUGCCCAUAUGAGAUUUAUUUAGAGUAUUAUUAUGUAAUUUAGGGUUAAAUACAUAUUUAGCUCAUGAACUUUAUAAUUUUUAUCACAUUGGUACUUAAAGAAAUUUUUUGUCACAUUGAUACUUAAACUUUUAAAUCGUUAUCACUUUGGAAUCUCUAAUUAACAUUGAUGGUCAAUUUUACUGAUGUAACAUGAAUAUCUUAUACGAUAUUAGUAUGUGUCUAAAAAGUUUAAUCAAUACCAUAUCAUUAAUGUCACGUCAUGCCCACAUCACAUUUAAAAGAAAAUUUUAAAAAAUUCUAAAAUCUUUAAACAAUUCUAAAACAUAUAUAAAAAUUCUAAAAAAUAUUUUUUUAAAAAAAGAAAAGUAUUAAAAAUUCUAAAAAGUAUUAAAGAAUUUUGAAAAAAUUAUAAAUUUUUUAAAAAAAUUUUAAAAAUUCUAAAAACUUUAAAAUUUUCUAAAACAUUUUAAAACAUCAAAAAAAUUAAAAAAUUAUCAAAAUUCAAAAUAAUUUUAAAAUAUUUUAAAAUAUUUUUAAAAACUUCUAAAAAUUUUUAAAAAUAAUUUGAAAAUUUGAAAAUUUUUUUAAAUUUCUUAAAAAAUUCUAAACAUUAUUGGAAAAUUAUAAAAAAAAGUUUAAAAAUUUGAAACUUAUAACAAAAUUAAAAAUAUGAAAUAUUUUAUAAAUUAUAAAAAUUAUCGUAAUUUGGAAAAUUUUAAAAUUUUUGAAAAUUUCUUAAAAAAUCAAAAAACUUAAAAAAAAAGUUAAAAUUUAUAAAAAUUAAAAUUUCUUAAAGCUUUUUAAAAAAUACAAAAACUUAAAAAAACUAAAAAUAAGAAAAAAAUCUAAAAUCUUUUAAAAUCUUUUCAAAAAUUAAAAAAUUUCAAAAUUUUGAAAUAUUAUAAAAAUUUUAAAAAAUCUAAAAUAUAAAAAAAUUAAAUUUUAAAUAAAAAUCCAAAACAUAUAAAAAAUUGACAAAUUAAAAAAUAUAUAAAAAGUUGAAAUUGUAAGAUUAAAAAAUAUAUAAAAAUUUUAGAACCUUCUAAAGAUUUUUAUAUUUUUUCAAAAAAAUUUUGAAUUUUGAAUUUUGAAUUUUGAAUUUUUCUUUUUGUUUUUUUUUUUUUUUGAGUUUUUCUCUUUGUUUUAAAAAAAAAAAUUUAACAAAAUUUUUAUAAUCAUUAAUUUUUUUAUUCUUUUCAUUUUUCUAUUUUUUAUUUGAAUUUUUUUAUUUUUUUUAAUUUUCAAAAAUUUUUAUUUUAAAAUUUUUCAAAAAUUUUUAAAUUUUUCUAGAAUUUUUUUAAAAAUUAUUUUUUAAUAUCUUAAUUUUUUUCAAAAUUUAAAAAUUUUUAUAAUUAUUUAAUUUUUAAAAAAAAUGUUCAAAAAUUUGAAAUUAUUUAAUUUUUGAAAAGAUUUUAAAAUUUUCUAGAAUUUUAAAAAAUCUUUAAUUUUUUUGAUAUCUUAAUUUUUUCAAAAUUUUAAAAAUUUAUUAAAACCAUGAGAUAAUGUUUUAAUUGAAAAAGGCUAGAGAAGUAGUAAUAUAUAUUUGCUAUUAUAAUAUUUUGCCCAUAUGAGAUUUAUUUAGAGCAUUAUUAUGUAAUUUAGGGUUAAAUACAUAUUUGGCUCAUGAAUUUUAUAAUUUUUAUCAUAUCGGCAUUUAAAAGAUUUUUUUGUCACAUUAGUAUUUGAACUUUCAAAUCGUUAUCACUUUGGGAUCUUUAAUUGACGCUGUUAGUCAAUUUUAUUGAUGUAACAUAAAUACCCUAUACGAUAUUAACAUAUGUCUAAAAAGUCUAAUCAACACUACAUCAUUAAUGCCAUGUCAUGCUCACAUCAUAUUUAAAAGAAAAUUUUUUAAAAAUUCUAAAAUUUUUAAACAAUUCUAAAAUAUAUAUAAAAAUUCUAAAAAAAAUUUUAAAACUAAGAAACGUAUUAAAAAUUUUUAAAAAUUCUAAAAACUUUAAAAAUUUCUAAAAAAUUUUAAAACUUCAAAAAACUAUUAAAAAUUAUAAAAAUCCUAAAUAAUUCUAUAAAAUUUUUAAAAUUUUUUAAAAUUUAUAAAAAAUAAUUAAAAUUUCUCAAAAAUUUUUUAAAAACUUGUAAAAAUAAUUUUUAAUACACAAAUAUUUUUAAAAUUUCUCAAAAAAUUCUAAACAAUUUUAAAAAAAUUCUAAACAUUAUUGGAAAAUUGUAACAAAAUUUUGAAAAAUUUGAAAUUUAUAAAGAUUAAAAAUAUGAAAUAUUUUUAUAAGUUAUAAAAAUUAUCAUAAUUUGGAAAAUUUUAAAAAUUCUGAAAAUUUCUUAAAAAAUAAAAAAAUUCAAAAAAAGUUAAAAUUUAUAAAAAUUAAAAUUUCUUAAAAUUUUAAAAAAAUACAUAAACUUAAAAGAUUAAAAAGAAGAAAAAAUCUAAAAACUUUUAAAAUCUUUUCAACAAUUAAAUAAUUUCAAAAUUUUGAAACAUUAUAUAAAAUUGAAAAAAAUUGAAAAAAAAAACUUAAAUUUUAAAUAAGAAUCCAAAACAUAUAAAAACUUAAAAAAAUUAAAAAAUAUGUAAAAAGUUGAAAUUGUAAGAUUAAAAAAUAUGUAAAAUUUUAGAACCUUUUAACUAUUUUUAUAUUUUUUCAAAAAAUUUUUGAAUAUUGCUUUUUGUUUUUUUGAACCUUCUCUUUUUGUUUUAAAUUUAACAAAGUUUUAAAAAUUUUUAAAAUCAUCAUUUUUUUAUUCUUUUAAUUUUUUAAUUUUUUAUUGAAUUUUUAAUUUUCUAGAAUUUUUAGAAAUUUCGAUUUUUUGAUAUCUUAAUUUUUAAAAUUUUUAAAAUUUUUUAAUUUUCUAAAAAUUUUUUGAAAUUAUUUUAAAGUUUUUAGAAUUUUUGAAAAAUUUUUAUAAUUUUAAAAAAUUUUUCAUAUUUUUUAGAUUUUUUUUGAAUUUUUUAAAGUUUUUAAUAUUUUUUUAAUUUUUAAAAAUUUUUAGAUUCUUUAUUUGAAUUUUUAAAAUUUUUUAAAUUUAAAAAAAAUUAUUUUAGAAUUUUUAGAAUAUUUUUUUGAAAAUUUUAAGCUUUUUGUUUAGAUUAUUUUUUUGAAGUUUUGAAUUCUUUGAAUUUUUUAGAAAAUUUUAAAUUUUUUUGAAUUCUUUUAGAAUUUUUAAAUAUUUUUCUUUUAAGUAUGAUAUUAGCAUGACAUGGCAUGAUAUGGUAUUGAUGAUGUGGCACUAGUUAGACUUUUGAUAUGUGUCAGUAUCUUAUUGGAUAUUCAUAUUAUAUCAACAAAGUUGACUAAUGGCGUUAGUCAAAGUUACUAACAUAAUAAAGAUUUGAAAGAUCAGGUAUCAAUAUAACAGAAAAAUUUUUUAGGUACCAAUGUGAUCAAAAUUAUAAAGUUCAGGGGUCAAAUAUAUAUUUAACCCUAUACUUUAUAGUUUGGGAAAUAAGUGUAUGCAUUAUUAAUAUAAUGAUUAUGACCAUGUACAUAUCCAAGGUAAAAUGCACUUAUAUUUAAUAUAUCCAUCAUGCAUACUGCAUUUGCAAGAGAUCUCCGAAAGAGAUACUAUGGAAUUAUAAUAGAAACACAUAUAAGAGGGUUAUGUUCAAUUGUGGUGCCAUAAAAAUCUUGGCAAUGUCAAGAACAUAAAACAUAUAUCCAUUUUUAUAUUUAGAUAAAAGGGUCAUGUUCAACUGUGGUGCCAUAAAAAUCUUGGCAAUGUCAACAAUAUAAAGCAUAUAUUCAUUUUUAUAUUUAUAUGUAUAUCAGCUAAAAAUGAAUAUUGAGUUUUUCAAGUCUUUUAAUUUAAUGAAUGAACAAAGACCACUUAAUGAUGUUAAAUUCAUGGUUCCAUGGGUUAUCACAUUUCAUGGCUUGAAUACAUAUUUUGUGAAUUUUUGUGUAUGGUAAUGAAUUGAAACAUCCAUGAGCCUAGAAUUGGACAUAGAGAACUCAUGCAUGGUUUGCCAUAUAUUAAAAAAAUAAAUGGAAACUCAAAUUAUCUUAUUAUUAGCAUAUAUUGCAUUUAUAUACAUAACAUUGAAAAAAAAAGUGUACAAGUCUUUGUGGUACAUGAGUUUUUAUAGUUUCAGGGUAAGGGUAUUGAUGAGAGCUUAUAUAUGCAACAUUAAUAUAUGGACUUGAUAAUGAUGAUAGCUUUCAAUAACCUCAAUCCUUGGAAUUAAUCGCUAAAUGAGUUAUUCAUGAAGAAUGAGGUAUGAUUCUUAAAUGAACAGUGCUUUUGAUAAAUUUAAAAAUAUUUAUUUGUAUAUAAUACAAAAAUGGUUUUUCUUAAUGAUUUUUGCAUAAAAGUGAUGUUUGUUUAAUUUUAUUUGAUAAUAAUCAUAGCUUGUAUAAACGAUUUACAUCUCAUUAUUUUAUUAAAAGUUUUGAGAUAUAGUGAAAAUAUAAAAUUAUAUUCACAUUGAAAGUCAUGGGUGAUUCAAAGAUUUUGUGAAUAUAAAAAAAAUAGCAAAAUGAAUUCCAUUUGAUCCAUUUGGAUGAUGGACAUGGUUUUGCUCGUGAUAAAAUUAUGUUAAUAGUGUUUAUGAUGAAAUAUAUUCAUAAGUUUCCAUGAGUUGGUAUAAAAGUCUCAAAAAAAGACUUUAGAAAAUAUAAGUUUACUAAAAUAAAAAAAUUUUUUUGAAAGUGAUUAUAUUUGACAUAAUUCUUAUUGAUAUAUACUUUCAUACUGGGUUUAAAUAAAAGUUUUGAAACUUUUAUGAGAAGAAAAUAUUAAGAUAUAGAAUAUUUGCUAGUUAUUUUUUACUAAAGUUUGGAGGCCUCCUACUUAAAAAAAAAAAUCACCUAAUAGCGAAAAGAUAAAUGAGAUAGCAACUUAAUUAAGUAUAUAUGAUAUUAAGAAGUGGAUGGAAAUUAAGAAGUGGAUGGAAAUUAAAAUAAUUUUUUUACAUCAAUUUAUUAUAUGAUAGGAUUGAAAAAUGAAACUUACAUUAUUUUAUCAUUAUAAAUAUUUUAAGUAAAAACUAAAAAGAAAAAUUCUAAAAGUAAAUGAAUAUUUUCUAUUUAUAAUAUUUGACUCAGUCCUCUUUUAUUUUCUACCUUUAAUCUUUUUUAUUUGUAAUGAUUUUUUAUGAAUAAAAAUAAAAAAUGACAAUCUCUCUCUCUCUCUCUCUCUUAUGAUAUGGCUCAAGUCAACUGCAGCUUAACCUACAGAUAAAGCUUAAAUAUUAUGAGUUAAGAAAUCCUAACCGACAGUUGCUACAGAGCAACUUCGCGGAAGAACUUUCGAGUGGAAAUCAUAAAUGCUACGACGGAUUUUCUUAUUCAGAUAAACUACGUAGAAAACUAGAAAUGCAAUGAAUUGACAUAUAUCAUGUGGAAAAAUAAUUUAAAGGUCGUGUAUGUUUGACAUAUUGAGGUAGCACUCAAUUCCAGCACGCCGUUGAUCAUUUACAAACCACUAGAAGCAAAUGCAGGGCCAGUUCAUAAUGUGUGCUUGAAGGGGUCUUCUCCCCCAAAAUUUUGAAACCUUCUAUUAUAUAAUUUAUAUUUUGUUAAAUAAAUUUAAAUUGAUCCCCAAAUUGAGAAUAUUAAUAUUUUUUUAUUUUUUUAUGAUUUCGUAAUCUUGCAAUUUAAUUAAGGGGUUAAAAUUACAUUACUAUUUAUCUUUUUAUUAUAUCCACUAAUCAUUAUUUAGAAAUCUUUAAAAUCAAAAAUUUUGUUGUUUAUUUUAAAUCACAACAAUAUGAUUUUAAUUUUUUAGCUUUCCUGACAAUAUUAAGUUUCUAAUCAAGUAUUAAAUUUGUUUUUUUUUUUGUAAAGAAUUAAAAGAGUGUAAACGUUGGUUGUCCGGUUAAUGGAACAAUCUCAUAAAUAUUCUUGUUAAAUUUGAUUUGAAAAAAAAAAAAAAGAAAUUUUGAGCAAUGCAUGAAGUUGAUUGUUUGCAAAAUCAAAAUCGUGUUAACAUGCUUAAAACCUUCACGAUUUAGAAAUUGAUAAAUUCCGACAGCGAUAACGUUCCAAGCUCAAAGCUGUAAAAAAUUUCUUAAAAAUGAUUAAAAACCAUGCUUGAUGCAGACUUAACUGAAUAAAAUUCCAGAAAGCCACGGCAACGCGGUGUCUGCAUCUCCCAGUCCUCGUUGAAUCUUGACAAAAAACUAAAGUUUGAGAUGUGACCAUUUCCAAAAGCAUCUGUCCAAUUAUUGCGAGGCUAAAAGAAGUUCAAGGCAACAUGGGAAAAUUCCUUGGUUAGGUGGUGGAACUCUGACUUUGACAAGUCAAAAGUAUGGUAAUUAAUUCGAAAGCCAUGUGUCAAAAUUUUCAUAUGGAAACAAGCAGGGAGGUGUCUUCUGUUCUCUGCCUAAUUAUGUUCUCCAGGAGCCAGGAUAAAAUUCUGCCGCUGACUUGGACAUCGGUGUCAGAGAAGUGAGGAUUACGGAAUAAUUAUUGAGAAUUUCACACGUUUUUAGAUGAGAUCCACUUUAUCAAUUUUUUUUUACGAUUUUUUUUUAAAUCAUCAUUUGGUAAAUUUUGUAUUUUACGAAGUUUAACUAAGAUGACAUAUGACAUUUCUCGAUAAUUUUUUUAAGUUAAAUUAGUUUUGUGAAAAAAAUUGAGACCGAUGAAAUUAUAUACAUGGCACUCUUAAUUAGCGUUUUAUGUUUUAUAUUAUUUAAUUUUUAAUUAAAUAAAAUUUUAAAAUAAAAUAUAUCAAUUAAUAAAAAUAUCAAAAUAAUUUGUAUUUAUUUAAUUUUAAUCCAUUCUAAUUUGAUAUGAGUGAUUUUUUAAAUUGAAAUUAAAUUGAGAUAAUAUUUAAAUUUUUUUAAAAUAAGAGUAGGACAAAAAAAAUACUCUUUCACAAUUCAUUUUUUGUAUAUAUAAAAAUAUUUUUUAAAAAAUUUUAUUAUAUACAUUUAUUAAUAAAAUUAUUAUUUUUUAAAUUGGUAAUUGAAUCUUCUUUUUUUUUUUUUUUUCUCAUCCUCUUUUUUCUGAUGUUUAUGUACAUAAGGAUUUAGGUGCGAUUAUAAUUAAUUGAUUUAUAAUUACGUACGGUUGAAGGGAGUAGGAAAAAUAAAAAAUAUAUAUUUGAGACGAUUGAUAAAGAUGGCAGUUGUUAAGGACAAGCCGCCUGGCUUUCUGUGCGCCCAAAAAGCGGUUUUGUCCUUUUCGAAUAUCCUAUAUAUAUAUAUAUAUAUAUAUAUAUAUAUAUAUUUUACUUUAUAGUGCCCAUCACUAGUUAAUUGUGAAUUUAAAAUUUCAUUUAAUUAAUUUAUUAUAAUUAUUUUAAUAUAUUUUAUAAUUUUAAAAUUUAAAUUUUAAUAUCUUUUCGUAAUUAUCACAAGGAACUAAUCCGGCGCCAUGACAUACCAAUUUAAGAAUCUGACUUUGGGUGAUUCAUAAAUUUCUUGCAUAAGAAAUUGCUUGAAGGGCUACGCAGUUCACACACCGUUUAAGAUCAAAAGAAGAUUCAGAAUUAAAACCAAAAAAUAAUAAUAAUAAUAAUAAUAAAGAAGUUGAUUGAGACGGGAGUGGUGGAAGAGGAUAAGCUGUGAAGCUUCUAGUUUAUUUCCCUAUCUAUGAAUGAAAAAAAAAAAAAACAAGGAUUAAAGUUUUUUUAAUAAAAAUUUAAUAAUUAUUAAAAAUUUUAAUAUUUUAUUAUGAUCAAUUAAAUUUUUUAUUUUUUUAUUUUGAUUCAAUUAAAUUUUUAUUGAACAAACCUUAAAACAUAAUAAAAUUAAAUCAUUAAUUUUUAAAUUAUAAUCAAUUAAAUCUUUAAAAAUAUAAAAAAAUAAUUAUUUAUUUACUUUUCACAUAUAUAAUUAUGCAAUAUAAUAAAUAUCUAUCUGUUUAUUAUUAUAUGAAAUUUCAUUUUAAUUGAUAAAAUUAACGAUAUUUAAAUACAAAUUAAUAUUAAAGGUAUUACUUGAAAUAAAAAAAAUAAAAAUGUAAAUAACUUUUUAAUUACAAUUCAGAGAUUUUUAUAUAUUAAAACAAACAAAAAGUUUUACUUUUAUUUCCGUGUGGCACUCAUGUGUCGAGCCAAAAGUCAAUCACAUUGUCCGUCAAAAAAGAAAAAAAAAGGGAGAUUUCAAUUUUUUUAUUCUUUUUUUGUUUGUAUUUGUUCAUCUAUAACAAAUUGAUCACAUGAAAAGGAUUGUCUAAGGGUAAUCCGCUCAAACUGACAAUCACUGAAUUUCUAACAAUCAUGAAUGAUAAUGGUACUGAAUGUUGACACAAAAAUGCUUACAAACUUGACCAGCUUGGUAUCUUGGAUGCAGCUCGGUAAUUGAAACCUCAAUUUUUGAGACUACCACAAUUUCAUUUCUGGAUUGACUGGAUUGUGUUGCCCCUGAAUUUAAGUGCUGCGACCACAGCAUCCCUGAUUGAGUGUUGCUGUGCAAAAAAAUGCAGGUUGUGAGGGUAGUGGCAGAGUGACAGAGUGGCUAGUAAGCAUCAGAACAACCGAAGCCAUGUUUGGUCUCGCAGCUACAUUUUCUUGAACACAAAGCAGCCCGAUGUGGAUGCAUCUCAUCAGCUCAGUUCUUGAACCAUCUCUAAAACUGGGAUCUACAAGAUCCAUUACUGUCCCAUUCUUCCAAUUUCUCCAAGCCUGCAGCGUUUAAUUCAUGCAAAUUAUUAAACAGUAAAUUCUUUUAAUGCUUUGGACAAGUAUCAUAUGAGUUACAAUCUCAUGCUUGAGGACAAAGGAAUACUUACAAAGUUUAGAAGAUCUUCUACAUUACUCCCAUUAUGGAAAGCACUAUUUUUUUGACCACUUAAAAUCUCCAUAAGUAGCACACCAAAACUAAAAACAUCGGACUUAACAGAAAAUUGUCCAUGCGUUGCAUAUUCAGGCGCCAUGUAUCCGCUACAAGUUAAUAAAAGAAAAAUUAGUUUUCCUUGUGGAAAAAAAGGGACACAUGACUUACCAAUCUUUUGAAUUGUUCAAGUGAGGAUGAUCAUCGGUCAUGCAUCAGCCAAGAUUUUUCUUUUAUUCACAUGAUGGGAAGGCAGUUUAACAAAAAUAAUAAUAGUAUAUGCAAUUAAAAGUGUAAUUAUUGACUCAGAAGAUUUCUAACACUUACCAUGUUCCCACGAUUCUAUUAGCAACCCCUUGAGUUUGAUCAACUGCAACCAAUCUUGUCAUGCCAAAAUCUGUAAUUUUAGGAUUCAUCUCUGCGUCUAAUAAUAUAUUGCUUGCUUUGAGAUCACAAUGAAUAAUUUUAAGUAGAGAAUCUUGAUGAAGAUAAAAAAGUCCUCGAGAGAUGCCUCUUAUGACUUUGUAUCGUCUUUCCCAAUUCAAAUAUGUACGGUUAACCGGAUCUGCAUCACCAUAAAUGUACGAAUCCUAAUUAAUAAAAUAAAACAUGGAUGUUGGUCUUUUGCUUUGUAGUAUACAUUCUAUAAUACACCGAUAUAUCAUACCAAAUAAUGAUUUAUCCAGACUUGUGUUAGGCACAAACUCAUAGAUGAGAAGCCUUUCAUUUCCUCCUAGGCAGAAACCUUGAAGCCUAACCAAAUUCCUGUGCUGAAGCUUGGCCAAUAACUGAACUUCGUUUUUGAAUUCAAGAUCUCCUUGUCCGGAUUCUGUAGACAGUCUUUUCACUGCUAUUAAUUCUCCAUUGGCAAGUGUGCCCUGAGAAGAUAUCAGAAUGAAUUAUAUAUGUAUAUGCCUAUUGAACUUGCAUACCCAUUUUAUUUCUUACGGAUGAUCAUUAUCGUCUUACCUUAUAAACUGCCCCAAAUCCACCUUGUCCAAGCUUAUUUGCGUCAGAAAAGUGAUUUGUUGCAGCUCUAAUGGUGUUGAAAUCAUAUUGCAAGGACUCUGCACUUGUGAUUCCAUCCACGGCUUCAGCUGCUUCACGCUCUUCAGAGGUGUAACAAAAGAACAAAAACAUAAACAAGUAAACAUUAGAUUUAGUCACGAGCUAAAUUCAUUAACAACAUUCCAAAAGGAAAAAGAACAAGAACACACUGACACACAAAAAACAAAGAAGAAAAUCAAUAAACCGAUUCUUUUACUUACUUUCAGCAUUCACCUUUGACUUCCUCGCCCCUAAAAAGAUGCAGACGCAGCAGGAAAUGAGAAGUACCGCAAAAGCGACGGCCGAGACGGUUAUGAUAAUAGUAGUUCGAGAUGAAUUACUCUUUUUUCCUGCAAAAUUUCAAAAAAAUGCGUUUUCUAUAAGAGUGCUGAAAUAGUUAACUUUGGAACUACUCUUAACUUAAUUAGUUAAAUUAGAGAAACCCUUUUCUCUGUUGUCUAGGAAAAUAAAAUUUUUACAGGCACACAUCCCAUUGAUACAAGACGGAGAAAUUCUUGAUAUUCUGAGGUAGACGUUCUCAUUUGGGAAAGAAACAACUGUUGAAUUGACAAAACAAAGCAGAAAGCGUACCUGUUGUACUUGUGGUAUCGUUUGAGAGCGGGGGAGAUAGUGGGGAUGCUGGUGUUGGUGGCGGUGAUGAUGGUAUUGGUAUAUCAGCAUUGGUAAGAUCAUAGAAACGUUCAACCUUAAACCUUAAAUUACAGCUAGGCCCAAUUAUCCUGCCUUCUUGUUUUCUGUCACAGCAUACCGGAAUAAAUCCAAUAGCCCGAGACAAGCAAGAGCUGCAGUCAACCUCGGUCAAAUCAGGAGUGCAUUGAACAAGUGCAUAUACCGUUUGGAAAGCUGAAACUUCUGCACUUCCUGUUGCAAACUUGCGAAGGGAAGUCCCCGAUGAAGCGUUAUUUCUUAGGGUAUCCAACACGGAACCCAGGGCCUGAUUAAAAGCAUCCACAUUCGUGACGUUAUUUACAUUCCACAUGUAGAACGAAGGGUUGAUCUCCAUAACACCAAAGAUGGAGCGAUUUGCGUAGCGGAACAUGCAUUUAUUAUACCAGAUGAUUGCCUCUUUCUGGUUGGGGCAGAGAUUUCUGAGCGCAGCGGUUGCGUUAUUGAUGCAGCUGAUGCAAUCACCUGAAUUCACAUCUCCUCUGCAAAGUGCAAUUGCGUUAACUCUGUUCGAGCCUUGGCCGGAUGAAAAAUUGUAGAACCCGUAAUCAUUUGCUGUGUUAAAGGAGGAAGAGGAAAGGAGGCGAUUGAGGUUUGUCUCGUAAGUGCUGUUUCUGGUGAAGUUACCACUACUCUCUAAACAGAAAUAAUAUAGAGGCUGUUGUUGGGCAAUGGUAAGAGUAAGAAGGAAUGUAAUAGUUGAAGAGAAGAAAAACUGCCAUGAAAAUUCCAUUGCCUUGCCUGCGGAGUACAGUAGUGUUCUGCUUCUGCGUCUCCAAAGCUUGUUGGACCUAUGAUUUUCAAAGUUUAUAUUAUAAUGAUGAAUGCUCCUUCUAUCAUGGAGUUGAUUGUUUACAAAAUCAACAUCGUGUUAACAUGCUUAAAACCUUCACGAUUUAGAAAUUGAUAGCUAAUGAUAGUGAAAACAUUUCAAACACAAAGCUGUAAAAAAUUUCCUUAAGAUGAAAAAUCCAUGCUUGAUGCAUACGUAACGGAUUAAAAUUCUAAGCGAGCCACAGCAACGCGGUGUCCGUAACUCCCAGUCCUUGUUGAAUCUUGACAAAAAACUAAAGUUUGAAACGUUACCAUUUCAAGAGGUAAUGAACACGGCAUCUGGCCAAAAACAGAAUGGUAAUUAAUGCGACAAGUCCAUGACAACAUGGGAAAAUCCCUUGGUUUGAUGGUUAAACUCUGACUUUUCCAAGUCAAAAAGUACGGUAUUUAAUUGGAAAUCCAAGUUUCCUUGGUUUCAAAUUUUUCAUGUAGAAACAUGCAGGACGGUCUCUUGUGUUCCCUGUCUAAUUUUGCUCUCCAGGAACCAGGGUAAAAUUCUGCCAUCGCUUGGACAUCUCUGUCAGGGAAGUGAGGAUUACGGGUAAUUAUUGAGAAUUUCACACGUUUUUAGGCAAUAAUUCUGAUUAAGUGACUUUAACUAUGUGCUCUAAUGUCCACUCUUUUGUUGAUAAGGAUAUGUUAUGGGUAAAGGAAUGCCCUGAUUGAGUUUCAUUCAAUUUCAUUGAUUUAAAAUUAAAUGAGUGAAACAAAGUUAUUCCUCUAAAAAUAAAAAAAAACCAAACCGUUGUUAACUGUUACGUGGAGACGGUAUCUAUAGGUUCAGCUAUAAUCAUAUUAAUUUGGUUGAAUUUUCUUAGAUAAAGUUGUUUUUUUCUUCUUUUUUAGAAAAAAAAAAAAAAUACAAAAGCUAAUAUAAUUGCGUCUGAAAUGGGGAAGUGGGAACUGCUGACUCUCAGAUAAAUCAGGCAAUGAUGGCGAUUGGUAAAGAUGCAAGAACUUUGCUGUGGUCUAAUCACCCUUCUCAGUCCCAAUCAAAAGACAUAAUAUUAUUUUUUAGUCUCUCGGGAGAUUAUUCUUGAAUAAAUUGAGAUGACAGUGGAAAAUAAGGUGAUAGAAAAUUCGCUAAUGGCGACUGAAGUGGAUGAAUGACAUCUAACGGGCAAUUUUUAAUUCCUGAAAAAAGUUAUUUCGGAAAGAUGAAUCAGUCCUGAAAUCAUUUAGUUACCCUUUUUCUAUUAGAAAAUGUGGCUUACUAUAGGAAAAGUUUUCCUUGUAAAAUCCAUACUGCAUUGUGCCGAGUCUUUCUUCUUUUUUUUUUUUUUUUUUAAAGGAUAGUGGUGUUAAUUGAGAAAGAGAAAUGUAGUCUUAUGAAGUGGGUACUCAGCUUCGCCGUAGUAUCUCUUACGUGUCACCUCAAUUCCCAGGAGGUAGUGCAUUGGAAAGGAAAUAGGAUCUCUGGACACAGAAAACUAUGGAGUUUGCUACAUUCAUGAUUUCAAAAAUAACAGUAAAGAUAUCAAUUAAUUGUUGUAUAAAAUUCUUAUAGAAAUGUAACUAUCAUCAGGCUGCUAGCUACUGUUUCUUCAACUUAACUGUUAUAAGUUCAUUUAUAUAGUAGUGCUAAUGCUGAUUCGUUUGAAAACAUUUACUUUUGUUUUCUCUUGGGGAAAAUUAUGCUCCCCCAAAUAAAUUGUUCAAGCCAAGAUAAUUCUACAAUAAGCACAUUUACGGGUUAAAUAUAGCUUCUUCAUUAGCAUAUAAAACUGCAAGAGACAAAUGAUGAGCAGCUUAGUUGAUUUAAUAAAACAUGUAGAAUACUACAGAAUAUCAAGAUUUUGGGGGUAAAUAACUCUUGUAUGUCCAGUUCAUACAUAAAGUGACUGGAUCAAGUACACAAGUACCACUACUUAAUCGUACCAAAUAUUCACAGCAAUGGCAGAAAAAGGACUUAUUCAACAUUGGCAGAUUGCUUUCUAUACUGAGGAAGCAUCUAUUAACUCACUUUACCGAGGGUCUAAUUCAGUAAUCGAUGCCUCAUUGAUAGACCAUGGCAUUGAUCGACUAGUGGAUUGAUCAGAUUCCAUCUCCUUGUUUGGCAUACUUCCCUCUGUUCUGCUGUGAAGGAAAAAUGCCGGUUGCUUAGGUAAUGGUAGUGUGACAGAGUAACUGUUAAGCAUGAGAACAAUGGUAGUCAUCGUAGGCCUGUCAACUGGAUCUUCCUGAACACAUAAUAACCCAAUUUGGAUGCAUCUAAUGACUUCAUUUCU
rnacentral:lncRNA from 1 species